GACGAACGCUGGCGGCGUGCCUAAUACAUGCAAGUAGAACGCUGAAGGAGGAGCUUGCUUCUCUGGAUGAGUUGCGAACGGGUGAGUAACGCGUAGGUAACCUGCCUGGUAGCGGGGGAUAACUAUUGGAAACGAUAGCUCAUACCGCAUAAUAGUAGAUGUUGCAUGACAUUUACUUAAAAGGUGCAAUCGCAUCACUACCAGAUGGACCUGCGUUGUAUUAGCUAGUUGGUGGGGUAACGGCUCACCAAGGCGACGGUACAAAGCCGACCUGAGAGGGUGAUCGGCCACACUGGGACUGAGACACGGCCCAGACUCCUACGGGAGGCAGCAGUAGGGAAUCUUCGGCAAUGGACGAAAGUCUGACCGAGCAACGCCGCGUGAGUGAAGAAGGUUUUCGGAUCGUAAAGCUCUGUUGUAAGAGAAGAACGAGUGUGAGAGUGGAAAGUUCACACUGUGACGGUAUCUUACCAGAAAGGGACGGCUAACUACGUG
rnacentral:rRNA from 1 species